UACGGAGGGUGCAAGCGUUACUCGGAAUCACUGGGCGUAAAGCGCGCGCAGGCGGUUAGGAAAGUCAGAAGUGAAAUCCUACAGCUCAACUGUAGAACUGCUUCUGAAACUCUCUAACUAGAGUGUGGGAGAGGUGAGUGGAAUUAGUGGUGUAGGGGUAAAAUCCGCAGAGGUCACUAGGAAUACCAAAAGCGAAGGCAACUCACUGGAACAUUACUGACGCUGAGGCGCGAAAGCGUGGGGAGCAAACAGGAUUAGAUACCCUGGUAGUCCACGCCCUAAACGAUGAAUGCUAGUCGUUGGAGUGCAAGUCACUUCAGUGAUGCAGUUAACACAUUAAGCAUUCCGCCUGGGGAGUACGGUCGCAAGAUUAAAACUCAAAGGAAUAGACGGGGACCCGCACAAGUGGUGGAGCAUGUGGUUUAAUUCGAAGAUACGCGAAGAACCUUACCUGGCCUUGACAUCCCAAGAACCCUGUAGAGAUACGGGGGUGCCCCUUUUGGGGAGCUUGGUGACAGGUGCUGCACGGCUGUCGUCAGCUCGUGUCGUGAGAUGUUGGGUUAAGUCCCGCAACGAGCGCAACCCUCGUGUUUAGUUGCUAACAGUUAGGCUGAGCACUCUAGACAGACUGCCUCCGCAAGGAGGAGGAAGGUGAGGACGACGUCAAGUCAUCAUGGUCCUUACGGCCAGGGCGACACACGUGCUACAAUGGGUAGGACAAUGAGAGGCAAUACCGCGAGGUGGAGCAAAUCUAUAAACCUACUCUCAGUUCGGAUUGUAGUCUGCAACUCGACUACAUGAAGCUGGAAUCACUAGUAAUCGUAGAUCAGCCAUGCUACGGUGAAUACGUUCCCGGGUC
rnacentral:rRNA from 1 species